AAAGCACACCCGAGGGGGUCGUGUCCCACACUAGGCAGAUCUAAUGGUGCCACAAAAGACAGGUGUUUUGUCAGAUUUCAGCCACACACUUUCACACCUGCAGCGCAUUAACUACAGCAGCAAUGUUAAUGAAGACCAGGUGCCUGUUCUCCAACUUAAAUGAGGAACUGGCAUGAGGCUUGCUGUUUGCUACCUGACGCCUUCCUCGGUGUCUCUGAAACUGGCCUUCUAGUUCCCUGGUCCUGGCGCUUCUACUGUUGAUGAGCAGCUCUUAGAGGUUUUAAAGAACUUGGUUCAUUUUGUGAGGAAACAUCUUGGUCUUAUAAGGAUUUGAAUUUGUGGACCAUGCUGGAAUAGAACAUCUUCUCUGACACUAACUUUUUUUAAAUGCAAGAACUAAAGGCAGACAAAGCCUUCCCAGAUCAAUUCGCAGUGGUACAAGACAGGCAUAGAGCUGAUGCGAGAGGCGACAAGACCCUAAUGGAAGGCAGCACACUGCUCUCUGGGGAUUCCCAAGCUCACCCGCCCAGUGAGGGAAAACGUUUUCGUGGAGAGCGAGGCAAUCAUUUCGCAAAUUGCUGCUUGCACCCUGCUAAGAGCCAGCUACACGCCUGGAAAAGCAGCUUCAUCUGCUCCGCACCUGCGCGAGCACGUGCCUCCAUUGACUAGUUUACUUGCCUUGAUCAGGGCAGGAGCAGGCAGGCGCAGGACGUCAAUGAUGCUUCGUUUUGAGGAAAUGUCAUAACGCCUAUGACAAAAACGGGUGGCUCUAGGGCAGCAGGACCUCCUCCUCCCACAAGGUUUUCUUGUUAUGCCCUUGAUGUCACCUCUCUUGGCUGUAUUCCCCCUGCCACCACCCAAGGGGUGAGGAGGAGUUCUCGCUCAGACCACGUGAUUGGCGUUCUCUGCCUAGUCCCUUUAUCCUUCCCCACGCUGGCCCUCCUGCACUCAGCCCAAGAGCCUUGCUAUUUUUACUUCUCUGUGAGGGGAUCUCAGGUUACAGAUGAUAUACCGAUGAGGAUAGACAACACGUGGCAUAGCAGAAAGAGUAUGGAAUUUAUGCAUGACUCGGACAAGUUUCUUACUUUGAGCCCUCAUUUCCUUAUCUGUAAAAUGGAAAUAAUAACGUCAAGGUGGUAUUUAGGGGAAAAGACUGUGGGCUUUGAGAGAGAAUGGCUAAGAAUUUUAUCAACUACUUCCCAGACUAUCAAAAUAAAGGGAGCCAAGAUGGAGAAACCAGGACUAAAAAGCCAUUGAAUUUCACAUGAUUAUAUCAACUUUCUCUUUCUUUCUGAAUCAUUGGAGCUUUAGAAGGAACUUUUGGACAUGAGUAACUUUAAUUUGUAUUCCAGUUAUGCACCAUUUUAGCACGGCAUCGUGUUUGAUGAAUAGCUCAUCCAGAAUGAUUCAUUUAUUUCUAGUAAAGGGAUGGAAUGGGUGGGGUUCAGGCUCACUCACUCAUUUAUUAUUUCUUCUCUGUGAUACAAAAACAGAAUAGUUUCAGAAUUAGAGGAUUUUAGUGUUGAUAUUGUCUGAUGUAAUACGUUUCUGUGUGUAUUUUCUUAGUUUUUUUGAGGUAUAAUUUAUGUGCAAUAAAUUGCCCCACUUUAAAUGUGCAGUUUGGUAGUAUUAGCAAUUGUAUACAGUUGUGUAAUCAAUACCACAAUCAAGUAACUUCCAUUAUCUCAAAUGUUCUCUUGCCCCCUUUUAGUCAAGUGUCUCCCUCAACCCCUGGCUACAGGCAACCACUGAGUUGCAAUCUGUCCCCGUAUGUUUGGCUUCUUCCCCUCAGUAUAAUGCUUUGGGAUUCAUCCAUUUUGGUGCAUGGACCCGUAAUUUGUUCCUUUUUAUUGCUGGACAUUCUAUCAUCUGGAAUAUGCCACAAUUUCUUUCUCUAAGUAUUAGUUGGAUGAUGUUUGUGUUGCUUCUAGUUUUUGGUUAUUAAUAAUGAUUCUAUGAAUAUUCAUGUACUUGAAUUAUUUUAACAUAUGUGUUCAUUUGUCUUGGAUAAAUGUCUACGAUGACGGGUGUUGGGUCAUAAGGUAAGUAUGUAUUUAAUGUAAUAAGAUGCUGCCAAACUUACUGUUUUCUUACUGAUACUGUUUUCCAAAGCUACUGUUAUCACUGUGCAUUUGGAACCAGCAAGGUAUGAGAGUACCUGUUGCUCUAUAUCCUUGUCAACACUUGUAAUUGUCUGUUUAUUCAGUUUUUGAAUUUCUAGUGAGUGUGUAGUGGUAUUUCAUUCUGCUCUGCAUUUGUGUUGCUCUAAUGCCUAGUGAUGUUAAGUAUCUUUUCACAUGUUUAUUGGCUAUUUGUGUAUUUUCUUUUGUGAAAUGUCAGUUCAAAUCUUUUGCCCAUUAAAAAAAGAUCUUGGGGUUAUCUGAUUAUUGAGUUGUAAAUAUUCUCUCUAUAUUCUAGAUACAAACAUUUUGUCAUAAAUAUGUUUUGAAAAUAUUUUUUCCCAGUAUGUGUCUUUCCCUUUGCUUUCUUAAUCUUGUUUUUCAAAGAGCACAUGUUUUUAAUUUGGAUGCAGUUCAUUUAAUCAAUUUUUUCUUUAUAGUUUGUGCUCUUUGUGACCAGUUUAGGAAAUAUUUAUCUUACCCAGCAUCACAAAGAUUUUUCUGUUUUUUUCUUUUAGAAACUUUAUGGUUUUAGCUAUCUUAUGUUUAGGUCUGUGAUUCAUUUCAAGUUACUUUUUAUAUGUGUUGCAAAAAACAGAAAGACUCUUUGGUUUCAUGUUUUUCUUUUUUUUCUCAUGGAGAAAAAACAUUUUUUUGAAAAAACAUCCCUUCCCUAUUGAAUUAUCUUGGUACCUUUGUUAAAAAUCAGUUGAUGUAUAACUCUGAGUCUGCUUCUGGGUUCUGUCCUAUUGGUCUGUUGAUCUACUCUGCCUUCAUUAGUGAAGCUUUAUAGUAAGUCCUGAAAUCAGAUAGUAUAAGGAUUCCAGCUUUGUUCUUCUUUUAAAAACUAUCCUGCCCAUUCUAGGUCUUUUGCCUUUCCCUAGAUAGUUUACAACCAGCUUCUCAAUUUCUAAGAAACUUGCUAGGAUAAUUGGAGUGUUUAGUCCAUUAAAAUGUAAUGAAAUGUUGAUAGGUUUAGGUUAAGGUCUACUUUUUUCUUAUUAAUUUUCUAUUAGUUCCCUUUCUAUUUUGUUCCUCUCUUUCUUCUUUGCAGCUUUUUUGGUUUAUUUGAAUAUUUUUUAGACUUUCUUUUCUUUUUUCUUUUGAUCGUGCUUAUGUCAAUAUCCUGAUUUUAAUUUUAUACUAUAGAUUUCAAGAAGUUACCAUUCAGGAAAAGAAUGAUCUCAAAGUAAAAAUUUUCAUUUUAAAGCUAGACCAUUAAUAUUUGAAUAUAGUUCAGACUUAAAGAAAAUAUUUACAAACUGUAUUCCUGGAAAAGGACAUGUAUACAAGAUUUAUAAAGACCUUCUACAAUUACCUCUGUAAUGAAGAGACACCUGACCUGACAAUAAAUUGGCAAAAAAUUGGAGCAGACACUUCACAAAAGAUGUAUGAAUGGCCAACAAACAGAAGAGUGUUCAGCAUCAUCAGGGAAAUGGGAAAGGCAAAUCAAUACCACAAUGAAAUACCACUAUACAUCUACCAGAAAAGUCAAAGUUAAAAGAUUGGCAACAUCAGUGUUGGCAAGGAUGCGGAGUAACCAGAACUCUUAUACGCUGCUAAUGGGAGUGUAAAAUGGUAUAACAUUUUGGAAAAAGGAAUGGCAAUGUCUUAUAAAACCAAAGAUACACCUAACCCGUGAUUCAAUAAUUCCACAACUAAGUCUUUUCCCAAGAGAAAUGAAAAUAUAUGUCUAUAAAAAGAUUUGUAUAAAAAUGUUCAAAGUAGCUUUAUUCAUAAUAGCCAAAAGUGGAUACAGUUCAGGUGUUCAUCAAUAGGAGGGAUUUCGGAUAGGAGAACGGAUAAUCAAACUGUGGCAUAUCCAUACCUUGGAAUGCUACUCAUCAGUACAAAGAAACCAACUACUGAUACACACAGUGACAUGGAUAAAUCUCAAAAACAUUAUGCUGAAUUAAAGAACCCUUAUACAGAAGAGUACAUGAUAG
rnacentral:lncRNA from 1 species